AUUGAACGCUGGCGGCAGGCCUAACACAUGCAAGUCGAACGAGUGGCGGACGGGUGAGUAAUGUCUGGGAAACUGCCUGAUGGAGGGGGAUAACUACUGGAAACGGUAGCUAAUACCGCAUACCAUCAGAUGUGCCCAGAUGGGAUUAGCUUGUUGGUGGGGUAAAGGCUCACCAAGGACACGAGCCCUAGCUGGUCUCAGAGGAUGACCGGCAAAACUGGAACUGAGCCCCGGUCCAGCCUCCGACGUGCGGCAGCAGUGGGGAAGAUUGCACAAUGGGAGCAAGCCUGAUGCAGCCAUGCCGCGUGUAUGAAGAAGGCCUUCGGGUUGUAAAGUACUUUCAGCGGGGAGGCGUUACCCGCAGAAGAAGCACCGGCUAACUCCGUGCCAGCAGCCGCGGUAAUUC
rnacentral:rRNA from 1 species